rnacentral:rRNA from 1 species
CCUACGGGAGGCAGCAGUGGGGAAUAUUGCACAAUGGGGGAAACCCUGAUGCAGCGACGCCGCGUGAGUGAAGACGUAUUUCGGUAUGUAAAGCUCUAUCAGCAGGGAAGAAAAUGACGGUACCUGAUUAAGAAGCCCCGGCUAACUACGUGCCAGCAGCCGCGGUAAUACGUGGGGGGCAAGCGUUAUCCGGAUUUACUGGGUGUAAAGGGAGCGUAGACGGCAGCACAAGUCUGGAGUGAAAUGCCGGGGCUUAACCCCGGAACUGCUUUUGAAACUGUGCAGCUAGAGUGCAGGAGAGGUAAGUGGAAUGCCUAGUGUAGCGGUGAAAUGCGUAGAUAUUAGGAGGAACACCAGUGGCGAAGGCGGCAUACUGGACUGUAACUGACGUUGAGGCUCGAAAGCGUGGGUAGCAAACAGGAUUAGAUACCCUAGUAGUC